rnacentral:ribozyme from 1 species
CCAUGGAGGAGGCCACCACGGCAUCGUUGCUGGGUACGCAGCUUGACAGAGGCAACCAACGCAAGGGCGGCGUUAACUCUGCUGGCUCGCAGCCAUCACCGACCAGCGUCUCGGUGGGCAACGAACGCGUC